UACGGGGGCUCCAAGCAUUAUCCGGUAUUAUUGGGCGUAAAGAGUUAUGUAGGCGGUUUUGUAAGUUAAAGGUUAAAUAUCCCGGCUCAACCGGGAAUCUGCUUUUAAUACUGCAAGGCUAGAGAUUAUCAGGGGAAGGUAGAACGCAUGGUGUAGUAGUAAAAUACUUUGAUAUCAUGCGGAAUACUAAAGGCGUAGGCAGCCUUCUGGGAUAUAUCUGACGCUGAGAUACGAAAGCGUGGGGAAGCAAAACGG
rnacentral:rRNA from 1 species